GGGGGGGCCUAACCAUGGCAAGUCGAGCGGAAACGAGUUAUCUGAACCUUCGGGGAACGAUAACGGCGUCGAGCGGCGGACGGGUGAGUAAUGCCUAGGAAAUUGCCCUGAUGUGGGGGAUAACCAUUGGAAACGAUGGCUAAUACCGCAUGAUGCCUACGGGCCAAAGAGGGGGACCUUCGGGCCUCUCGCGUCAGGAUAUGCCUAGGUGGGAUUAGCUAGUUGGUGAGGUAAGGGCUCACCAAGGCGACGAUCCCUAGCUGGUCUGAGAGGAUGAUCAGCCACACUGGAACUGAGACACGGUCCAGACUCCUACGGGAGGCAGCAGUGGGGAAUAUUGCACAAUGGGCGCAAGCCUGAUGCAGCCAUGCCGCGUGUGUGAAGAAGGCCUUCGGGUUGUAAAGCACUUUCAGUCGUGAGGAAGGUGGUGUAGUUAAUAGCUGCAUUAUUUGACGUUAGCGACAGAAGAAGCACCGGCUAACUCCGUGCCAGCAGCCGCGGUAAUACGGAGGGUGCGAGCGUUAAUCGGAAUUACUGGGCGUAAAGCGCAUGCAGGUGGUUUGUUAAGUCAGAUGUGAAAGCCCGGGGCUCAACCUCGGAAUAGCAUUUGAAACUGGCAGACUAGAGUACUGUAGAGGGGGGUAGAAUUUCAGGUGUAGCGGUGAAAUGCGUAGAGAUCUGAAGGAAUACCGGUGGCGAAGGCGGCCCCCUGGACAGAUACUGACACUCAGAUGCGAAAGCGUGGGGAGCAAACAGGAUUAGAUACCCUGGUAGUCCACGCCGUAAACGAUGUCUACUUGGAGGUUGUGGCCUUGAGCCGUGGCUUUCGGAGCUAACGCGUUAAGUAGACCGCCUGGGGAGUACGGUCGCAAGAUUAAAACUCAAAUGAAUUGACGGGGGCCCGCACAAGCGGUGGAGCAUGUGGUUUAAUUCGAUGCAACGCGAAGAACCUUACCUACUCUUGACAUCCAGAGAACUUUCCAGAGAUGGAUUGGUGCCUUCGGGAACUCUGAGACAGGUGCUGCAUGGCUGUCGUCAGCUCGUGUUGUGAAAUGUUGGGUUAAGUCCCGCAACGAGCGCAACCCUUAUCCUUGUUUGCCAGCGAGUAAUGUCGGGAACUCCAGGGAGACUGCCGGUGAUAAACCGGAGGAAGGUGGGGACGACGUCAAGUCAUCAUGGCCCUUACGAGUAGGGCUACACACGUGCUACAAUGGCGCAUACAGAGGGCGGCCAACUUGCGAAAGUGAGCGAAUCCCAAAAAGUGCGUCGUAGUCCGGAUUGGAGUCUGCAACUCGACUCCAUGAAGUCGGAAUCGCUAGUAAUCGUGGAUCAGAAUGCCACGGUGAAUACGUUCCCGGGCCUUGUACACACCGCCCGUCACACCAUGGGAGUGGGCUGCAAAAGAAGUAGGUAGUUUAACCUUCGGGGGGACGCUUACCACUUUGUGUUCAUAGGGAAAAGAAAAAAGAAAACA
rnacentral:rRNA from 1 species